CUCAUGUGGCAGCAAAUUAUAGGAAGGGUUGACUAGAGAGAGGCUGUAGAGUCUCUGCCUGGAAAUCUUUUAAAAAUAAGCCUCCCAUGAGUCAGAUGAAUUGUGCUGUGCCUCUAACAAGCUUGCAUCCCUUGGAAACAGAACUGCCAGCCUGGAGGAAGAAAAACUAGAACCAGAGAGGAAUGAAGACGGAGAGAGAGAUAGAAACAUCAAUGAUGAGAGCCAAUCAUUGAUUGGCCCCCAACCUGAGCAUGUGCCCUGACUGAGAAUUGAACUGUGACCUCCUUGUUCAUAAGUCGACAUUCAACCACUGAGCCAUGCUGGCUGGGGCAAACUUUUAAAUAGGUAGGAGAGAUCAGUGGUGAAAUUCAGGUCAUUAACAGCAUUACAAAAUGGAAUGGAUGAGUAUAGAACGGAAUAGAAAUUAUUAAAGUCCAUGC